rnacentral:rRNA from 1 species
GAUGAACGCUGGCGGCGUGCCUAAUACAUGCAAGUCGAGCGAACGGACGAGAAGCUUGCUUCUCUGAUGUUAGCGGCGGACGGGUGAGUAACACGUGGAUAACCUACCUAUAUGACUGGGAUAACUUCGGGAAACCGGAUCUAAUACCGGAUAAUAUUUUGAACCGCAUGGUUCAAAAGUGAAAGACGGUCUUGCUGUCACUUAUAGAUGGAUCCGCGCUGCAUUAGCUAGUUGGUAAGGUAACGGCUUACCAAGGCAACGAUGCAUAGCCGACCUGAGAGGGUGAUCGGCCACACUGGAACUGAGACACGGUCCAGACUCCUACGGGAGGCAGCAGUAGGGAAUCUUCCGCAAUGGGCGAAAGCCUGACGGAGCAACGCCGCGUGAGUGAUGAAGGUCUUCGGAUCGUAAAACUCUGUUAUUAGGGAAGAACAGAUGUGUAAGUAACUGUGCACAUCUUGACGGUACCUAAUCAGAAAGCCACGGCUAACUACGUG